UACGUAGGGGGCAAGCGUUGUCCGGAUUUAUUGGGCGUAAAGAGCUCGUAGGCGGCUCGGUAAGUCGGAUGUGAAACCUCCAGGCUCAACCUGGAGACGCCAUCUGAUACUGCCGUGGCUUGAGUCCGGUAGAGGAGCAGGGAAUUCCUGGUGUAGCGGUGAAAUGCGCAGAUAUCAGGAGGAACACCAGCGGCGAAGGCGCUGCUCUGGGCCGGUACUGACGCUGAGGAGCGAAAGCGUGGUGAGCGAGCAGG
rnacentral:rRNA from 1 species